UGGGUCGUGCAGGUCUCGAACCUGCGACACCCGGAUUAAGAGUCCGGUGCUCUACCAUCUGAGCUAACGACCC
rnacentral:tRNA from 1 species